rnacentral:rRNA from 1 species
CCUUGUACACACCGCCCGUCACACCAUGGGAGUUGGAUUUACCUUAAGACGGUGCGCUAACCCGCAAGGGAGGCAGCCGGCCACGGUAGGUUCAGCGACUGGGGUGAAGUCGUAACAAGGUACCC